AAGCUCAAGGGCGUCCAAAUCUGCCAAUGGCAUUUCCCUGUACGUUAGCGAUGACCGAAAGGUAGCAACCUGGAGUUUGGCCGGNUGUGAGUACGUCGACGGAAAGCAGCUGGUU
rnacentral:sRNA from 12 species